AUUGAACGCUGGCGGCAUGCUUUACACAUGCAAGUCGAACGGCAGCACGGGCUUCGGCCUGGUGGCGAGUGGCGAACGGGUGAGUAAUAUAUCGGAACGUACCCAGAAGUGGGGGAUAACGUAGCGAAAGUUACGCUAAUACCGCAUACGAUCUAUGGAUGAAAGCAGGGGACCGCAAGGCCUUGUGCUCCAGGAGCGGCCGAUAUCUGAUUAGCUAGUUGGUGAGGUAAAGGCUCACCAAGGCGACGAUCAGUAGCUGGUCUGAGAGGACGACCAGCCACACUGGAACUGAGACACGGUCCAGACUCCUACGGGAGGCAGCAGUGGGGAAUUUUGGACAAUGGGCGCAAGCCUGAUCCAGCAAUGCCGCGUGAGUGAAGAAGGCCUUCGGGUUGUAAAGCUCUUUUGUCAGGGAAGAAACGGUAGAGGCUAAUAUCCUUUGCUAAUGACGGUACCUGAAGAAUAAGCACCGGCUAACUACGUG
rnacentral:rRNA from 1 species